CCAUCAGUAUGUGACAGGCUGUGGAGAGAUGUCAAAGCUGGUGUGUUGAACAGAAGGACUUCUAACCAUGCCAGGCACCUGUGUCCACGGCGAGGCGCCUGUGUCCUUAAUGCAGGUGGAAAUGAGCAUGCUGCCGGGUAUGCAGGGUUUCGGGAUCAACCAGAGACAGGCCAGUGGCACAAACAGGUGUGAGGUCUCCUGAGGAAGGAUGUCGCUACUUCUUUUAACAUUGUAGCCAACUGUGCUGCUAAACUCAUCCUUGACGUCUAGAACUUUUCUGUAGAUCCCGGCUUCUAUCCAAUGAUGAAAAUCAUCCAAAGAUAAAAAGUACUGGAAAUGCAAGCAUGGCCCACCUCACCAAGCUCCACUCUACUUGUGAAAUGUUACUCAGAGUUCUUUGAAGAAAUGGAGCUGUGGAAGCUGAGGAAGUUGGAGUGAAUGUGUAACUCCCACAGGCACAGGCAGGUAGGGACGCCAGUGCCUCAGAAGCAAGAGAUGGCCAAGCACCCCCGUGGUCCAAAUAUUAGUGUUCACCAACACCUGACCUACAGGAGUGUGCAAAAGCCAGCACCUGCAGCAUCGCCCUUACAGAUGACUGGACUCUGAGACUUCUCCCCUAUGAAACCCCCAAAGGUUAGCUAAUGCCUCCCUACCCAGGCUUGUACAUGAUGAACUCCCUCAGGUUUUAGGUUGCAUCUUUGGUGUCCCACCAUCAGAAUGAGAAUACCUUAGCUGAUCCCAGAUUUUCUGUGUGUGUGUUUGUUCUUUCUUCAUGCUCUUAUCAUUCUAGUCAGGGUUCCAGACGACCUUGUGCAAGGUGAGAGACUAGGUGCAGAGUCAGUAAGAUGGAUGUGCAUAUCUGCAUGCAGAACAGGUGUGUGUGUGUGUGUGUGUGACUUGCGUAAUUAAAGAGCCGCAAGCCUGAAUUCUGCAGGGGGCUGGCAGACAGUGGUCCAGGUAAU